UACGUAGGGGGCUAGCGUUGUCCGGAAUCAUUGGGCGUAAAGAGCUCGUAGGCGGUGUGUCGCGUCGGCCGUGAAAACCUGGGGCUUAACUCUGGGCUUGCGGUCGAUACGGGCAUCACUUGAGUUCGGCAGGGGAGACUGGAAUUCCUGGUGUAGCGGUGAAAUGCGCAGAUAUCAGGAGGAACACCGGUGGCGAAGGCGGGUCUCUGGGCCGAUACUGACGCUGAGGAGCGAAAGCGUGGGGAGCGAACAGG
rnacentral:rRNA from 1 species